rnacentral:rRNA from 1 species
ACGGGAGGCAGCAGUCGGGAAUAUUGCGCAAUGGAGGAAACUCUGACGCAGUGACGCCGCGUAUAGGAAGAAGGUUUUCGGAUUGUAAACUAUUGUCGAUGGGGAAGAGAAAGGACAGUACCCAUCAAGAAAGCUCCGGCUAACUACGUGCCAGCAGCCGCGGUAAUACGUAGGGAGCAAGCGUUAUCCGGAAUUAUUGGGUGUAAAGGGUGCGUAGACGGGAUAGCAAGUUAGUUGUGAAAUACUCUGGCUCAACUGGAGAAUUGCAACUAAAACUAUUAUUCUUGAGUGCAGGAGAGGAAAGUGGAAUUCCUAGUGUAGCGGUGAAAUGCGUAGAUAUUAGGAAGAACAUCGGUGGCGAAGGCGACUUUCUGGACUGUAACUGACGUUGAGGCACGAAAGUGUGGGGAGCAAACAGGAUUAGAUACCCUGGUA